UACGUAGGGGGGCUAGCGUUGUCCGGAUUUAUUGGGCGUAAAGAGCGUGUAGGCGGCCAGAUAGGUCUGCUGUGAAAACUCGAGGCUCAACCUCGAGAUGUCGGCGGAAACCAUUUGGCUAGAGUCCGGAAGAGGAAAGUGGAAUCCUGGUGUAGCGGUGAAAUGCGCAGAUAAUCAGGAAGAACACCCGUGGCGAAGGCGGCUUCCUGGGACGGUACUGGCGCUGGAGACGCGAAAGCGUGGGGAGCGAACAGG
rnacentral:rRNA from 1 species